AUUGAACGCUGGCGGCAUGCCUAACACAUGCAAGUCGAACGAGUGGCGGACGGGUGAGUAAUGUCUGGGAAACUGCCUGAUGGAGGGGGAUAACUACUGGAACCGGUAGCUAAUCCCGCAUACCAUCAGAUGUGCCCAGAUGGGAUUAGCUAGUUGGUGGGGUAACGGCUCACCCAGGCGACGAUCCCUAGCUGGUCUGAGAGGAUGACCAGCCACAAUGGAACUGAAACACGGUCCAGACUCCUACGGGAGGCAGCAGUGGGGAAUAUUGCACAAUGGGCGCAAGCCUGAUGCAGCCAUGCAGCGUGUAUGAAGAAGGCCUUCGGGUUGUAAAGUACUUUCAGCGGGGAGGCGUUACCCGCAGAAGAAGCACCGGCUAACUCCGUGCCAGCAGCCGCGGUAAUAC
rnacentral:rRNA from 1 species